rnacentral:rRNA from 1 species
CCUACGGGUGACUGCAGUGAGGAAUAUUGGUCAAUGGGCGUAAGCCUGAACCAGCCAAGUCGCGUGAGGGACGACGGCCCUACGGGUUGUAAACCUCUUUUGCCGGGGGACAAACGGCGGCACGCGUGCCGUCCUGAGGGUACCCGGAGAAAAAGCAUCGGCUAACUCCGUGCCAGCAGCCGCGGUAAUACGGAGGAUGCGAGCGUUAUCCGGAUUUAUUGGGUUUAAAGGGUGCGUAGGCUGUGAGGUAAGUCAGCGGUGAAAUGCCCCCGCUCAACGGGGUGAAGUGCCAUUGAUACUGCCUUGCUGGAAUGCGGAUGCCGUGGGAGGAAUGUGUGGUGUAGCGGUGAAAUGCAUAGAUAUCACACAGAACACCGAUUGCGAAGGCAUCUCACGAAUCCGCGAUUGACGCUGAUGCACGAAAGCGUGGGUAUCAAACAGGAUUAGAUACCCUGGUAGUC